AUACGUAGGGUGCAAGCGUUAAUCGGAAUUACUGGGCGUAAAGCGUGCGCAGGCGGUUAUGUAAGACAGAUGUGAAAUCCCCGGGCUUAACCUGGGAACUGCAUUUGUGACUGCAUAGCUUGAGUACGGUAGAGGGGGGUAGAAUUCCACGUGUAGCAGUGAAAUGCGUAGAGAUGUGGAGGAAUACCGAUGGCGAAGGCAGCCCCCUGGACCGUAACUGACGCUCAUGCACGAAAGCGUGGGGAGCAAACAGGAUUAGAUACCCUGGUAGUCCACGCCCUAAACGAUGUCAACUAGUUGUCGGGUCGUCAGACUCGGUAACGCAGCUAACGCGUGAAGUUGACCGCCUGGGGAGUACGGUCGCAAGAUUAAA
rnacentral:rRNA from 1 species